rnacentral:rRNA from 1 species
AGCAGCCGCGGUAAUUCCAGCUCCAAUAGCGUAUAUUAAAGUUGUUGCAGUUAAAAAGCUCGUAGUUGAAUUUCGGGAUUUGUCAGUUGGUCGGGCUUCACUGUCCGUAUUGACUUGAUGGAUUCUUACCUUCUGAAUAACCAGCAUGCUAUUAAGUUAGUGCGUUGGGGAAGCAGAUCUAUUACCUUGAAAAAUUAGAGUGCUUAAAGCGAGCUAGUGCUUGAAUAGAUUAGCAUGGAAUAAUAAAAUAGGACGGCAUGGUUCUAUUUUGUUGGUUUCUAGGAUCACCGUAAUGAUUAAUAGGGAUAGUUGGGGGCAUUAGUAUUCAAUUGUCAGAGGUGAAAUUCUUGGAUUUAUUGAAGACUAACUUCUGCGAAAGCAUUUGCCAAGGAUGUUUUCAUUAAUCAAGAACGAAAGUUAGGGGAUCGAAGACGAUCAGAUACCGUCGUAGUCUUAACCAUAAACUAUGCCGACUAGGAAUCGGACGAUGUUAAUCUAUAAUGACUCG